rnacentral:rRNA from 1 species
UCGAGGAUCUUCCGCAAUGCGCGCAAGCGUGACGGAGCGACGCCGCGUGGGUGAUGAAGGCCUUCGGGUCGUAAAACCCUGUUAGCUACAGUGAAUUGCGGGUGGUGAAUAGCCAUCCCGCUUGACGUAAGUAGCAAAGAAAGCACCGGCUAACUACGUGCCAGCAGCCGCGGUAAUACGGAGGGUGCAAGCGUUGUUCGGAAUUACUGGGCGUAAAGCGCGUGUAGGCGGCUAAUUAUGUCAGGUGUGAAAGCCCUCGGCCUAACCGAGGAAGUGCGCCUGAAACUGAUUAGCUUGAGUACGAGAGAGGAGGACGGAAUUCCCAGUGUAGAGGUGAAAUUCGUAGAUAUUGGGAGGAACACCGGUGGCGAAAGCGGUUCUCUGGAUCGAUACUGACGCUAAGACGCGAAAGCGUGGGGAGCAAACAGGAUUAGAUACCCCCGUAGUCCCUGAGCGGGCUGGCAAGGCGCAU